UACGGAGGGUGCGAGCGUUGUCCGGAAUCACUGGGCGUAAAGGGCGCGUAGGCGGCUUAACAAGUCACUUGUGAAAUCUCCGGGCUUAACUCGGAACGGCCAAGUGAAACUGUCAAGCUAGAGUGCAGAAGGGGCAAUCGGAAUUCUUGGUGUAGCGGUGAAAUGCGUAGAUAUCAAGAGGAACACCUGAGGUGAAGACGGGUUGCUGGGCUGACACUGACGCUGAGGCGCGAAAGCCAGGGGAGCAAACGGG
rnacentral:rRNA from 1 species